rnacentral:tRNA from 2 species
GGGGAUGUAGUUAAAAAUAACAUCUAAUUUGCAAUUAGAAAGUACUAUCUUAAGUCUUCCUCA